UAGAGUUUGAUCCUGGCUCAGAACGAACGCUGGCGGCGUGCCUAACACAUGCAAGUCGAACGAGAAAUCGGGCACUCAGGCAACUGAGUGCCGGAGAGUAAAGUGGCGCACGGGUGAGUAACACGUGGGUAACCUACCCCCGAAUCUGGGAUAACCUCGCGAAAGCGUUGCUAAUACCGGAUAUUGUCCUAUUGGUUGUGACCUUUGGGAUGAAAGGCAACCUCUUCAUGAAAGUUGUCGUUCAGGGAUGGGCCCGCGUACCAUUAGCUUGUUGGUGGGGUAACGGCUCACCAAGGCUACGAUGGUUAGCUGGUCUGAGAGGAUGAUCAGCCACACUGGAACUGAAACACGGUCCAGACUCCUACGGGAGGCAGCAGUGAGGAAUUUUGCGCAAUGGGGGAAACCCUGACGCAGCAACGCCGCGUGAGUGAAGAAGGCUUUCGGGUCGUAAAGCUCUGUCAAGUGGGAAAAAAGUCUGAUGAUUAAUAGUUGUCAGAUCUGAUGGUACCACUGAAGGAAGCACCGGCUAACUCCGUGCCAGCAGCCGCGGUAAUACGGAGGGUGCAAGCGUUGUUCGGAAUUACUGGGCGUAAAGGGCGUGCAGGCGGGUUGGUAAGUCAGAUGUGAAAGCCCUGGGCUUAACCCAGGAAGUGCAUUUA
rnacentral:rRNA from 1 species